rnacentral:rRNA from 1 species
GAUGAACGCUGGCGGCGUGCUUAACACAUGCAAGUCGAACGAAGCACCUUGAUUCGAUUCUUCGGAUGAAGAUCUUGGUGACUGAGUGGCGGACGGGUGAGUAACGCGUGGGUAACCUGCCUCAUACAGGGGGAUAACAGUUAGAAAUGACUGCUAAUACCGCAUAAGACCACAGCACCGCAUGGUGCAGGGGUAAAAACUCCGGUGGUAUGAGAUGGACCCGCGUCUGAUUAGGUAGUUGGUGGGGUAACGGCCUACCAAGCCGACGAUCAGUAGCCGAACUGAGAGGGUGACCGGCCACAUUGGGACUGAGACACGGCCCAAACUCCUACGAGAGGCAGCAGUGGGGAAUAUUGCACAAUGGGGGAAACCCUGAUGCAGCGACGCCGCGUGAGCGAUGAAGUAUUUCGGUAUGUAAAGCUCUAUCAGCAGGGAAGAAAAUGACGGUACCUGACUAAGAAGCACCGGCUAAAUACGUG